CAGCAAUUGAUGCAGAAUAGUGUACCUCUUUGUAAGGGCCAUCAAGAACCUUGUGUUCCUCGGGUCGUUAAAAAAGCAGGGCCCAAUUUGGGCCGCAGAUUUUAUGCUUGUGCUCGAGCUGAGGGACCUUCAUCAAAUGCUGAAGCAAACUGCGGUUACUUCAAAUGGGCUGCUUUCCUAAAAUCCAAGGGAAAAGGAAAAUGAAGUCUCCAGUCUCCACUGCAUAUAUUCACCUCAGGUUAGCAAAUUGCAGUUACUUCGAAUGGG
rnacentral:misc_RNA from 1 species